rnacentral:rRNA from 1 species
CAACCGCCACGGUAAUACGAAGGGUGCAAGCGUUAAUCGGAAUUACUGGGCGUAAAGCGUGCGUAGGCGGUUUGUUAAGUCUGUUGUGAAAUCCCCGGGCUCAACCUGGGAAUGGCAAUGGAUACUGGCAAGCUAGAGUGUGUCAGAGGAUGGUGGAAUUCCCGGUGUAGCGGUGAAAUGCGUAGAGAUCGGGAGGAACAUCAGUGGCGAAGGCGGCCAUCUGGGACAACACUGACGCUGAGGCACGAAAGCGUGGGGAGCAAACAGGAUUAGAUACCCCCGUAGUCCCUGUCUCUUAUAC